UAAGAUGAGAGCAUGAGCCACACAGUUAUCUGAAAGAAGGGCAGUUCAAAGAGAAAGAAGGAGAUGUGCUUGACAUAUGUGAAAAACGAGGAACCCAUGUGACUGGAGAAGAGCAGGCAGAAGCGGGGUGAAAGACCCUGAGCGCAGAGGCGUACAGAAGGCAAGAGCACGCACAGCCCUACAGACCAUGAGGGAAGGACUUUCGGAUUUUAUUCAGAGUCAAAAAAAUCAGAAUGGUGUAUUAGCUACCCUGAGCAUCUCUCCCAAUUGAAACACCCUGGAUAAAAUAUGAGAAAUUAUUUUUAAAAAUACAUGAUCUUGCUAACAUCAAAGAAGGAAAAAAACAGAGUCUCAAAAUGAAGUGAAAACAGGAAUCUUAGGAGGAACCUAAGAAAUGCAACAUGCAAUCAAGUGAUCGUCUUGUGUGGGAGCUGCAGACAUGAAGUCACCACUGAGGGCACUGAAACAUCCCCCUUCCACACAGCUCACCUGCUUUGGGAUGGAUAUUUAUGCUGUUUACAACUGACCACAAGUGCACACAGUGCUGCGUGGGUCUUCUUCACUACACAGCUUGGCAGAUUUUCUGUAAGCGGAAUGUGGACUCAGCAAAUAAGGACCCCUUUCACCACCCUUUACAGUCUUUCAAAGCACAAGGCUACUGCUGACAUCAAAGAGCACUUGAAGAAUGAAGAGGCAGGAAAGAUAAUUA